rnacentral:rRNA from 1 species
UACGAAGGGGGCUAGCGUUGUUCGGAAUUACUGGGCGUAAAGCGCGCGCAGGCGGCCAUUCAAGUCAGGGGUGAAAGCCCAGAGCUCAACUCUGGAACUGCCCUUGAAACUGUAUGGCUUGAGUAUGAGAGAGGUGAGUGGAAUUCCCAGUUGUAGAGGUGAAAUUCGUAGAUAUUGGGAAGAACACCGGUGGCGAAGGCGGCUCACUGGCUCAUUACUGACGCUCGAGGCGCGGACA